rnacentral:rRNA from 1 species
UACGUAGGCAGCGAGCGUUGUUCGGAAUUACUGGGCGUAAAGAGUGUGUAGGCGGUGCUCCCAGUCUGUUGUGAAAUCUCCCGGCUUAACUGGGAGGGUGCAGCGGAAACUAGAGUGCUAGAGGGUGGGAGAGGUAAGCGGAAUUCCUGGUGUAGCGGUGAAAUGCGCAGGAUAUCAGGAAGAACACCCGUGGCUAAGGGCGGCUCUCUAGUACGGUACUGACGCUGAGACGCGAAAGCGUGGGGAGCAAACAGG